UACGUAGGGUGCAAGCGUUAAUCGGAAUUACUGGGCGUAAAGCGUGCGCAGGCGGUGAUGUAAGACAGAUGUGAAAAUCCCCGGGCUCAACCUGGGAACUGCAUUUGUGACUGCAUCGCUGGAGUGCGGCAGAGGGGGGAUGGAAUUCCGCGUGUAGCAGUGAAAUGCGUAGAUAUGCGGAGGAACACCGAUGGCGAAGGCAAUCCCCUGGGCCUGCACUGACGCUCAUGCACGAAAGCGUGGGGAGCAAACAGG
rnacentral:rRNA from 1 species